rnacentral:tRNA from 1 species
GGCUCCGUACUUUAGAAAAAGGUUUAAUUUGCACUUAAUAAUCAAGGACACACCCUUCGGAGCUC